UACGACUAACCUAAGUAUUACCCUCUGGUACUAGGGUAACUAACCGCGUUAACUUAAGACAUCCGUAGAUGUAUAUUUACCUCUGUUGCUAACAGCUGGGUGUAGGAAUAGUUAAUCCCUUAAAUUAUACCUGUAAUGGUAUCAACCGUUGACAUCCGAGGAUGCGCUUUUACCUCUGUAGCUAACAGAGAUUCUAGGAAUGGUCAAUCCCGCAACGUAUCCUUUGGUACUAGGAUAUUAAAUCCAAUCUAUCUCGUCGAUUAUGUGAUUGCAUCACAAGGUAAAGAUAAGAAUGAGGAUUAUAUAACAUAAACUAUACAUAUAAAAUGUAAUGAUAAUUCGUCAUAUAUUAUCUAUGUAAACGUAAUCAUGUAAAUGUAAUCAUAUAAAUGUACUUAUGUAAAUGUACCCGCAACGUAUCCUUUGGUACUAGGAUAUUAAAUCCAAUCUAUCUCGUCGAUUAUGUGAUUGCAUCACAAGGUAAAGAUAAGAAUGAGGAUUAUAUAACAUAAACUAUACAUAUAAAAUGU
rnacentral:lncRNA from 1 species